rnacentral:rRNA from 1 species
GAUUAACGCUGGCGGCGUGCCUAACACAUGCAAGUCGAGCGGCAGCGCGUUUUACACUGCAUGGUGGAAGCUGCCAGUUGAAAGAGAAGAUUUAUUCAAGAAUUCUUGGUAAAAUGUCUGCGAGCGGCGGACGGCGGAUUAUCGCGUGUGAACGUACCCCAAAGUAGGGGAUAACGCACCGAAAUGUGUGCUAAUACCUCAUAGGGGCUUCGGUUUAAAGUCUGCGGGCUCAUUGGGAACGGGCUGCGUAAGAUUAGAUAGGUGUUGGGGUAAUGGCCUACGAAGUCGACGCUCUCUAACUGGGUAGAGAGGAUGGUCAGUCAGACUGGCACUGAGACGCAGUCGAGACUCCUACGGGAGGGAGCAGUGAGGAAUCCACCAAAAUGGGGGAUAGGAUGAUGGCGCAACGCUGGGUGAAGGAUGAAGUCCUUAGGGUAGUACACUGCUCUUAUACGUGAGGAUUAUGACAGUAACUGAUGAAUAAGGAUCGGCUAACUACGUG